GACGAACGCUGGCGGCGUGCUUAACACAUGCAAGUCGAACGGUAAGGCCCUUCGGGGUACACGAGUGGCGAACGGGUGAGUAACACGUGGGUGAUCUGCCCUGCACUUCGGGAUAAGCCUGGGAAACUGGGUCUAAUACCGGAUAGGACCACUGCCUGCAUGGGUGGUGGUGGAAAGCUUUUGCGGUGUGGGAUGGGCCCGCGGCCUAUCAGCUUGUUGGUGGGGUGAUGGCCUACCAAGGCGACGGCGGGUAGCCGGCCUGAGAGGGUGACCGGCCACACUGGGACUGAGAUACGGCCCAGACUCCUACGGGAGGCAGCAGUGGGGAAUAUUGCACAAUGGGCGCAAGCCUGAUGCAGCGACGCCGCGUGAGGGAUGACGGCCUUCGGAUUGUAAACCUCUUUCAGCACCGACGAAGCGCAAGUGACGGUAGGUGCAGAAGAAGGACCGGCCAACUACGUGCCAGCCGCCGCGGUAA
rnacentral:rRNA from 1 species